CGUGCCUUGGCCAAGUCUUCAAGAGACCACACCAAAAUGCCAUCUCAAAUGGAACAUGCCAUGGAAACCAUGAUGUUUACAUUUCACAAAUUUGCUGGGGAUAAAGGCUACUUAACAAAGGAGGACCUGAGAGUACUCAUGGAAAAGCAGUUCCCUGGAUUUUUGGAAAAUCAAAAAGACCCUCUGGCCGUGGACAAAAUAAUGAAGGAUCUGGACCAGUGCAGAGAUGACAAAGUGGGCUUCCAGAGCUUCUUUUCCCUAAUUGCGGGCCCCACCAUUGCAUUCAAUGACUAUUUUGUAGUACACAUGAAGCAGAAGGGAAAGAAGUAGGCAGAAACGAGCAAUUCCCCCGGCCCUGAUAACAGUUGUCCCAAAGGGUCACUUAAGGAAUCUGACCCACAGCUUUCCCCAUAUAAGGAUUUCAUGAGCAGAUUAGGACCCUUAGCAAGUGUACAAAUAAAAUCUAAUUCCCAUUUGACGAG